ensembl:lncRNA
AGAGACUCCUCUAUGGAAACACAGAAGCAACAUCAACCAGGAUGUCAGAACAGCCUCCCAGAGCUGCUGUUUGGAUGUGAACUGCCUCCCACCCUCAUAAUUUUUUGCUUGAGGAUGCUCCACAGGUUCUCAAUAGGAUUGAAAUCAGGGAAGGGCCACUCCAUGAGUUCCUCUCCUUUUACGCCGAUAGCAGCCAAUGAUGCAGAGGUAUUCCUUGUAGCAUGAAGAUGGUUGUGUUGCAGAAAGCACAGUUCUUCUCUUUCUACCAUGGAAGAAAGUGGUCAGUCAGAAACUCCACAUCCUUUGCAGAGGUCAUUUUCACACCUUCAGGGAGCCUAAAGGGGCCGACCAGCUCUCUCCCCGUGAUUCCGGCUCAGUACAUGACUCCACCACCUCUUUGCUGACGACGCAGCCUUAUUGGGACAUAGUGGCCAUCCACCAACCAUCCACAACUGCAUCC